CUACGGGUGGCAGCAGUGAGGAAUCUUGCGCAAUGGGGGAAACCCUGACGCAGCGACGCCGCGUGGGUGAUGAAGGCCUUCGGGUCGUAAAGCCCUGUCGAGAGGGAAGAAUUGCAUUUAGGUUAAUAGCCUAAUUGUUUGACGGUACCUCCAAAGGAAGCACCGGCUAACUCCGUGCCAGCAGCCGCGGUAAUACGGAGGGUGCAAGCGUUGUGCGGAAUCACUGGGCGUAAAGGGCGUGUAGGCGGCUGAGUAAGUCAGGUGUGAACUCCCUCGGCUCAACCGGGGAAGUGCAUUUGAUACUGCUCAUCUUGAGUACUGGAGAGGGAGAUGGAAUUCCCGGUGUAGAGGUGAAAUUCGUAGAUAUCGGGAGGAACACCAGUGGCGAAGGCGAUCUCCUGGACAGAUACUGACGCUAAGGCGCGAAAGCGUGGGGAGCAAACAGGAUUAGAUACCCGAGUAGUC
rnacentral:rRNA from 1 species